rnacentral:sRNA from 1 species
UAGCUCUGAAGGUAAGAGUUGUAGGAAACUGAACUCUUUCUUGUCAGUGACAGUUUCAGGAGCUCAGUUUUCUCCAACAUCUUAUCUUCGGCGCCUUAAUCUUUGUAGUGACUAUAAAUAUGUGGAGUGGUAGCUUGGUUAGGUAUCACAACCAUAAUCUUUGGCAGCUGAAUUUGAGGUUUGGAUGGGACCAAAUCUUACUGCAGACUUGCAGAGCAAGACAAGAUUUGGUUUCCUCCAAUAUCUCAUGUUCAGUUGUCAGACAGUGAAUAGUGGUGCAAUUAGUGAGCUUUAACUUAUGGGUGGAACAACCUUGGAAGCUGAAUGUGAGAGUUGGAUGGGGCCAAAUCCUGAGCUUCAGAUCUUGCCAUGGCACAAGAUUUGGUUUCCUCCAGUAUCUCACCUUCAAUUGUCCAAGAUGGCCAGAUGCAAC